GCACAACGCGAAGAACCUUACCAGGCCUUGACAUGCAGAGAACUUUCCAGAGAUGGAUUGGUGCCUUCGGGAACUCUGACACAGGUGCUGCAUGGCUGUCGUCAGCUCGUGCCGUGAGAUGUUGGGUUAAGUCCCGUAACGAGCGCAACCCUUGUCCUUAGUUACCAGCACGUUAUGGUGGGCACUCUAAGGAGACUGCCGGUGACAAACCGGAGGAAGGUGGGGAUGACGUCAAGUCAUCAUGGCCCUUACGGCCUGGGACUACACACGUGCUACAAUGGUCGGUACAGAGGGUUGCCAAGCCGCGAGGUGGAGCUAAUCUCACAAAACCGAUCGUAGUCCGGAUCGCAGUCUGCAACUCGACUGCGUGAAGUCGGAAUCGCUAGUAAUCGCGAAUCAGAAUGUCGC
rnacentral:rRNA from 1 species